GGAUGAGCUGCUUUGUCACUUCAGGCACAGCAGGGACUUUUACCUCUGCAAUGCCUGCUGAAUGCAGAGCUGGCUUUUGCAUGAGCAGUUGGGUAGCUGCUCACGUUCUGAUUGCUGAAAGGUCAUUGCAAGCACAGGGACAUCCUGUGUGAAGAGCUGCUUGUCUGUGGCUUUCCUUUUGGCUGUUUCUGUGUUACAGCACAGGUGUGCUGCUGUCCUCUUGGGCCUCUCUGGUUCAGGGAGCACAAAGCUGUGCUGUGGGGUGGCUGGCUUUGUUGACACAGGCAGAUGUCUGCUCUCUCACAGGCUGUCUGGAGAAGCAGAGCCAUGCUGCAGGUAUCCCCAAACCCUACAUAAUCCAGGCCCUCCGGGGAGGCGAGGGAAGCCUGGACGGCGUGGAGAGCCUGGACCUGCAGUAAGUAUCGUGGAUUUUACAGUUGGAUCGACAAAGUUAAGGCUUUCUCCUUCACCCUCCCCUUCCUUUCUGUGUCAUUGCAAAAGCACAGCAUUUUUUGGUAGAGGUGUGUCUGGAAGGAAAAUUGGUACCAGAUGCUGCUGUAUUUUUUUCACAAUUGUAGACAAAUGGUGUGGGGGGAGUUCUAAAAUGUUUAACUUGCUGCCCUCGGGGACUUCCAGUAAUUUUAAACCCAGCAAAUAUUCAGAAGGAAAAAAAAAAAGAAAGGUUUCCCUUUAGAGUUUCUUUACUCAGCUUCUAUUGAACCCC
rnacentral:lncRNA from 1 species